rnacentral:rRNA from 1 species
UACGAAGGGGGCUAGCGUUGUUCGGAAUCACUGGGCGUAAAGGGUGCGCAGGCGGGUUCAUAAGUCAGGGGUGAAAUCCCGAGGCUCAACCUCGGAACUGCCUUUGAGACUGCGUCGCUUGAAUCCGGGAGAGGCGGGUGGAAUUCCGAGUGUAGAGGUGAAAUUCGUAGAUAUUCGGAAGAACACCAGUGGCGAAGGCGGCCCGCUGGACCGGUAUUGACGCUGAGGUGCGAAAGCGUGGGGAGCAAACAGG